CAGAACAGCGAUUUGGACCAAUCGUUCUCCGUUUCUAAAAAAACCGUGUGGGAAGAUGGCGAGCUCUAUCGGCGGCGUUUUACGGCGAAUUGACUUGCACCACCGCGCAGCCUGGCUGUGUGCAUCAGGACCGAGGCGGCAGCAGAGCACUCUGGGAUACGUGCCGCGGCGAGCCGUGCUGUACGUCCCCGGGGCGGACGAGCGGAAGCUGCGGAAGCUGGCCUCGCUGGACGUGGACUGCGCCGUGCUGGACUGCGAGGACGGCGUCGCGCUCAGCAAGAAGGCUGAAGCUCGGGAGACCAUUCCCAGAAUGCUGCAGGAGCUGGAGCUGGGGCGCACGGAGAAGUGUGUGCGGGUGAACUCUGUGUCCAGCGGCCUGGCGGAGGCUGACCUGGAAGUGAUCCUGCAGGGGGCGGUGCUGCCCCCCGCCCUCAUGCUGCCCAAGGUGGAGAACACUGAGGAGGUGCAGUGGUUUGUGGGCAGAUGUCGGCGUUACCUGGCGGGCCGGACGCUGCAGGAGCCCAUACGCCUGCUCACCUUCGUGGAGACGGCCCUCGGGCUGCUCAACUUUAAGGCGGUGUGUGAAGAGGUCCGGGAGCUGGGUCCAAAGGCUGGCCUGCAUCAUGAUGGCGUGGUGUUUGGUUCUGAUGACUUCUGCGCCAGCAUAGGCGCCACUCGUACGCAGGACGCGUCGGAGCUGCUGUACGCGCGGCAGAAGGUGGUCGUCACGGCGAAGGCGUUCGGCCUGCAGGUGGUGGACCUGGUGUACAUCCAGUACCAGGACGGAGAUGGCCUCCGCCGACAGGCCCGGGAGGGAGCGCUGAUGGGCUUCACUGGAAAACAAGUCAUCCAUCCCAGCCAGAUCCAGACCGUGCAGGAGGAGUUCUCCCCCAGUCCAGAGAGGGUCCGGUGGGCCCGGGACCUGAUCUCCGCUUUCCAGGAGCACCAGAAGUUGGGCAAGGGUGCCUUCACCUUCCGUGGUAGCAUGAUCGACAUGCCCUCGCUGAAGCAGGCCCAGAACAUCGUUACCAUGGCCACCGCCGUCCCAAAGCAGUGAGCUUCAGCAGGCCAGCUUCCUGUUUCUUCAACCACUUCCUGUUUGCACACCACCUCAGGCUCCACCCCUUCCUGUUUGCACACCACCUCAGUGUCCGGGGCACACCAGCAAACUGACCUUUUAAAAACAAUUAAGAAGUUAGAAGCCUUCUGUCUUCACUGUAGAACUGCUGCUCACUGGACGUUUUUUUGUUUUUCAACCACCAUUCUUUGCAAACUCUAGAGACUGCUGUGCGUGAAAUUCCUGAGAGAUCAGCCGUUUCUGAGAUGCUCACACCACCCUGUCUGGCACCAACAAUCAUUCCACAGUCAAAGUCACUUAGAUCACAUUUCUUCCCUAUCCUGGACUGAAAAACAGCUGAACCUCUUGACCACAUCAGCAUGCUUUUAUACAUUUAUUUGCUGCCGUAAGAAUAAAUAUUUGCAUUAUCAA